rnacentral:rRNA from 1 species
GACGAACGCUGGCGGCGUGCUUAACACAUGCAAGUCGAACGGAAAGGCCCUGCUUUUGUGGGGUGCUCGAGUGGCGAACGGGUGAGUAACACGUGAGUAACCUGCCCUUGACUUUGGGAUAACUUCAGGAAACUGGGGCUAAUACCGGAUAGGAGCUCCUGCUGCAUGGUGGGGGUUGGAAAGUUUCGGCGGUUGGGGAUGGACUCGCGGCUUAUCAGCUUGUUGGUGGGGUAGUGGCUUACCAAGGCUUUGACGGGUAGCCGGCCUGAGAGGGUGACCGGCCACAUUGGGACUGAGAUACGGCCCAGACUCCUACGGGAGGCAGCAGUGGGAAUAUUGCACAAUGGGCGGAAGCCUGAUGCAGCAACGCCGCGUGCGGGAUGACGGCCUUCGGGUUGUAAACCGCUUUCGCCUGUGACGAAGCGUGAGUGACGGUAAUGGGUAAAGAAGCACCGGCUAACUACGUGCCAGCAGCCGCGGUGAUACGUAGGGUGCGAGCGUUGUCCGGAUUUAUUGGGCGUAAAGGGCUCGUAGGUGGUUGAUCGCGUCGGAAGUGUAAUCUUGGGGCUUAACCCUGAGCGUGCUUUCGAUACGGGUUGACUUGAGGAAGGUAGGGGAGAAUGGAAUUCCUGGUGGAGCGGUGGAAUGCGCAGAUAUCAGGAGGAACACCAGUGGCGAAGGCGGUUCUCUGGGCCUUUCCUGACGCUGAGGAGCGAAAGCGUGGGGAGCGAACAGGCUUAGAUACCCUGGUAGUCCACGCUGUAAACGGUGGGUACUAGGUGUGGGGUCCAUUCCACGGGUUCCGUGCCGUAGCUAACGCUUUAAGUACCCCGCCUGGGGAGUACGGCCGCAAGGCUAAAACUCAAAGGAAUUGACGGGGCCCCGCACAAGCGGCGGAGCAUGCGGAUUAAUUCGAUGCAACGCGUAGAACCUUACCUGGGUUUGACAUGGAUCGGGAGUGCUCAGAGAUGGGUGUGCCUCUUUUGGGGUCGGUUCACAGGUGGUGCAUGGCUGUCGUCAGCUCGUGUCGUGAGAUGUUGGGUUAAGUCCCGCAACGAGCGCAACCCUUGUUCACUGUUGCCAGCACGUUAUGGUGGGGACUCAGUGGAGACCGCCGGGGUCAACUCGGAGGAAGGUGGGGAUGACGUCAAGUCAUCAUGCCCCUUAUGUCCAGGGCCUCACGCAUGCUACAAUGGCUGGUACAGAGAGUGGCGAGCCUGUGAGGGUGAGCGAAUCUCGGAAAGCCGGUCUCAGUUCGGAUUGGGGUCUGCAACUCGACCUCAUGAAGUCGGAGUCGCUAGUAAUCGCAGAUCAGCAACGCUGCGGUGAAUACGUUCCCGGGGCU